rnacentral:rRNA from 1 species
CCUACGGGGUGCAGCAGUGAGGAAUAUUGGUCAAUGGUCGGGAGACUGAACCAGCCAAGCCGCGUGAGGGAUGAAGGUACGGAGUAUCGUAAACCUCUUUUGUCAGGGAACAAAGGCGGGGACGUGUCCCCGGAUGAGUGUACCUGAAGAAAAAGCAUCGGCUAACUCCGUGCCAGCAGCCGCGGUAAUACGGAGGAUGAGAGCGUUAUCCGGAUUUAUGGGGUUUAAAGGGUGCGCAGGCGGUCUGUUAAGUCAGCGGUCAAAGCCCGGGGCUCAACCCCGGCCCGCCGUUGAAACUGGCAGUCUCGAGUUGGAGAGAGGUAUGCGGAAUGCGCGGUGUAGCGGUGAAAUGCAUAGAUAUCGCGCAGAACUCCGAUUGCGAAGGCAGCAUGCCGGCUCCACACUGACGCUGAGGCACGAAAGCGUGGGUAUCGAACAGGAUUAGAUACCCCUGUAGUC